CGUCUCGAUAAUAUUUUUCCUUGUUCACUAAUAAAUCUAUUAAUUAAACUCAUGUUUCUAUAAUCAAUUUGAUCUCCCGGGCCAAUCCGGGGACGCCUACGAAAAGGUUGUUUAGAUUUACGAAAAGGUUGCUUGAAUUUACGAAAAGUUUGCUUGGAUUUACGAAAGGGUUGCUUGGAUUUAUUAAAAGUUUGCUUGGAUUUACUAAAGGGUUGCUUAGAUUUAAGAAAAGGUUGUUUAGAUGUAUACAUGAUUUAUUCCUUAUUUAAAAUUUGAAAAUUUGAAAAUUCACUUCUUUAUUUUAUUAAUUUAGGAUCCAGAAGAAGUAGUUUUUCUUUGAUCCAUAUCUUAUUUGAUUCAUAUUAUAGUAUAUGAAUACCCUCUAUACAUAUGAAAUAAUAUCUACCAGAAAUCAGAUGAGUUGAUUUGUAUUUUGUAUUCUAUACUAUGUUUUCUUUAUAUAUUAAAUAUGAAGUUCUUACUCUUUCUGUUGUUUGGAAAGAUCGAACACACGAUGUUCCUAUUUCUUUAUUUCGUGAUGAGUCGUAUGCUUGCGACAAUAACGACAAAAUUUUUUGAAUUCUAAUUGUCCGGGUGUAUUGUGGCGAUUCUUUUGAGUACUAUAUCUAGAAAUCCCCGUCGAUUCCUCAUUGGCACCUUUUCGAACACAACUGAUGCAUUCCAAAAUAACUCUGAUUCUAACAUCUUUUCCCUUGGCCAUGAACCUCCUUUUCUUUUUGGAUUGACUUAACUUAAUUAUUCUACUUAUUCUUUUAUUCUUCUAUUUUGAAUCCGAAGAAGAAGAAUAAAAUUCAUUAGAAUAAUUUUUUUUUAUUCUUAAAUUAAGUAAUAAAAAAUAGAGAAAUAAUUAAAGAAUACAAUCCUUGUCGAAUUAGCAAAGAUUUUGGUUCGAAAUCCUUUUUUUUAAUUCUAGUUAUUGCUAUGGAAGGGAUAGAUUUCUUCGUGAUAUGACAAAAUUUGAUCCUUUUCAAUCUUUUUUUAGUAUCGGAAGGAAAAAGAAAGAAAAGAUGGAUUGGGUUGAACCUCAGAGUCAUUAAAAAUUUGGUAAACCCCAUUUUUGAAAAUAGAAAUUCAAUUUAAAGGGGUACCCAAGCUAAAUAAGGCCUCAGAAAUCAGAGCAUAGAAAAGGCGGGGCUGGCUAAUUAAAUGAAAGGAUUUCGAACCAAAAUCUUUGCUAAUUCGACAAGGAUUGUAUUCUUUAAUUAUUUCUCUAUUUUUUAUUACUUAAUUUAAGAAUAAAAAAAAAUUAUUCUAAUGAAUUUUAUUCUUCUUCUUCGGAUUCAAAAUAGAAGAAUAAAAGAAUAAGUAGAAUAAUUAAGUUAAGUCAAUCCAAAAAGAAAAGGAGGUUCAUGGCCAAGGGAAAAUAUGUUAGAAUCAGAGUUAUUUUGGAAUGCAUCAGUUGUGUUCGAAAAGGUGCCAAUGAGGAAUCGACGGGGAUUUCUAGAUAUAGUACUCAAAAGAAUCGCCACAAUACACCCGGACAAUUAGAAUUCAAAAAAUUUUGUCGUUAUUGUCGCAAGCAUACGACUCAUCACGAAAUAAAGAAAUAGGAACAUCGUGUGUUCGAUCUUUCCAAACAACAGAAAGAGUAAGAACUUCAUAUUUAAUAUAUAAAGAAAACAUAGUAUAGAAUACAAAAUACAAAUCAACUCAUCUGAUUUCCGGUAGAUAUUAUUUCAUAUGUAUAGAGGGUAUUCAUAUACUAUAAUAUGAAUCAAAUAAGAUAUGGAUCAAAGAAAAACUACUUCUUCUGGAUCCUAAAUUAAUAAAAUAAAGAAGUGAAUUUUCAAAUUUUCAAAUUUUAAAUAAGGAAUAAAUCUAUUAAUUAAACUCAUGUUUCUAUAAUCAAUUCGAUCUCCCGGGCCAAUCCGAGGACGCCUACGAAAAGGUUGUUUAGAUUUACGAAAAGGUUGCUUGAAUUUACGAAAAGUUUGCUUGGAUUUACGAAAGGGUUGCUUGGAUUUAUUAAAAGUUUGCUUGGAUUUACUAAAGGGUUGCUUAGAUUUAAGAAAAGGUUGUUUAGAUGUAUACAUGAUUUAUUCCUUAUUUAAAAUUUGAAAAUUUGAAAAUUCACUUCUUUAUUUUAUUAAUUUAGGAUCCAGAAGAAGUAGUUUUUCUUUGAUCCAUAUCUUAUUUGAUUCAUAUUAUAGUAUAUGAAUACCCUCUAUACAUAUGAAAUAAUAUCUACCAGAAAUCAGAUGAGUUGAUUUGUAUUUUGUAUUCUAUACUAUGUUUUCUUUAUAUAUUAAAUAUGAAGUUCUU
rnacentral:lncRNA from 1 species